CAGGACGAACGCUGGCGGCGUGCCUAAUACAUGCAGUCGAACGAACUCUGGUAUUGAUUGGUGCUUGCAUCAUGAUUUACAUUUGAGUGAGUGGCGAAGGUGAGUAACACGUGGGAAACCUGCCCAGAAGCGGGGGAUAACACCUGGAAACAGAUGCUAAUACCGCAUAACAACUUGGACCGCAUGGUCCGAGCUGAAAGAUGGCUUCGGCUAUCACUUUUGGAUGGUCCCGCGGCGUAUUAGCUAGAUGGUGGGGUAACGGCUCACCAUGGCAAUGAUACGUAGCCGACCUGAGAGGGUAAUCGGCCACAUUGGGACUGAGACACGGCCCAAACUCCUACGGGAGGCAGCAGUAGGGAAUCUUCCACAAUGGACGAAAGUCUGAUGGAGCAACGCCGCGUGAGUGAAGAAGGGUUUCGGCUCGUAAAACUCUGUUGUUAAAGAAGAACAUAUCUGAGAGUAACUGUUCAGGUAUUGACGGUAUUUAACCAGAAAGCCACGGCUAACUACGUGCCAGCAGCCGCGGUAAUACGUAGGUGGCAAGCGUUGUCCGGAUUUAUUGGGCGUAAAGCGAGCGCAGGCGGUUUUUUAAGUCUGAUGUGAAAGCCUUCGGCUCAACCGAAGAAGUGCAUCGGAAACUGGGAAACUUGAGUGCAGAAGAGGACAGUGGAACUCCAUGUGUGCGGUGAAAUGCGUAGAUAUAUGGAAGAACACCAGUGGCGAAGGCGGCUGUCUGGUCUGUAACUGACGCUGAGGCUCGAAAGUAUGGGUAGCAAACAGGAUU
rnacentral:rRNA from 1 species